CCAUAGUUCGCUUUGGAAACUGUCAAACUUGAGUGCAGAAGGGGAGAGUGGAAUUCCAUGUGUAGCGGUGAAAUGCGUAGAUAUAUGGAGGAACACCGGUGGCGAAAGCGGCUCUCUGGUCUGUAACUGACGCUGAGGCUCGAAAGCGUGGGGAGCGAACAGGAUUAGAUACCCUGGUAGUNCACGCCGUAAACGAUGAGUGCUAGGUGUUGGNUCCUUUCCGGGAUUCAGUGCCGCAGCUAACGCAUUAAGCACUCCGCCUGGGGAGUACGACCGCAAGGUUGAAACUCAAAGGAAUUGACGGGGGCCCGCACAAGCGGUGGAGCAUGUGGUUUAAUUCGAAGCAACGCGAAGAACCUUACCAGGUCUUGACAUCCCGAUGCUAUUUCUAGAGAUAGGAAGUUACUUCGGUACAUCGGUGACAGGUGGUGCAUGGUUGUCGUCAGCUCGUGUCGUGAGAUGUUGGGUUAAGUNNNNCAACGAGCGCAACCCCUAUUGUUAGUUGCCAUCAUUCAGUUGGGCACUCUAGCGAGACUGCCGGUAAUAAACCGGAGGAAGGUGGGGAUGACGUCAAAUCAUCAUGCCCCUUAUGACCUGGGCUACACACGUGCUACAAUGGUUGGUACAACGAGUUGCGAGUCGGUGACGGCGAGCUAAUCUCUUAAAGCCAAUCUCAGUUCGGAUUGUAGGCUGCAACUCGCCUACANGAAGUCGGAAUCGCUAGUAAUCGCGGAUCAGCACGCCGCGGUGAAUACGUUCCCGGGCNU
rnacentral:rRNA from 1 species